GCGGAUGGGUGUACGAGCAAGGUAAUUUAGAAGCCUUUCUUUUCCUUACGUCACAAUCACAUUAUGGGAAACUGAAAAUACUUGUAUAAAGGAAUAAAUGAUAAAAAGAUACCACCAAGCUAAACUAUACAUCCUUUUGACUAAAUGUAUUUAGGUUGGGGUGGGGGAGAGGAAAAAAUGCCAACUGAGAAAGCUAUAAGCAGCUAUUUCACUAUCUUGGAAUGCUCAGAAAUACAAAGAAUUGUAUGAACUCUUUAGUAAUUCAUUGGAUCAAGUUUUCUUGUUUCUUAUACAAAUUAUUAAGCAAUUAAUUACAGUUAACCUUUUCCAGUUUCAUGUCCUCAAGGGAGUGGCAUGAUUCUCUCCUGAAAAUUAAAAACCAUUUCACCUGUUCUUGGACCUGGCCCAACUGCUGUCUCCCUACUUCCAGGAAUGGUAAGUUUUGUCGGUAAGAAGUUAGGAUACAGCCAGCUUUGUUUCCUCUAGAAGCCAGCUUUGUUUCCUCUAGGAGAGUGAAUUAGCCGCUAUAGAUAACACUUUUGAAAAUUUAGAACUUCUGAAUGCAUUAAUUUUAUUCAUUCAUUUUUCCCAUAGCAUUGCAAGGCCAAAUUGAUAUUCAUUGUUAUGUGGCAGGUAUGUUGACACCUUCAACCAA
rnacentral:misc_RNA from 1 species